AGUGAACGCUGGCGGUAGGCCUAACACAUGCAAGUCGAACGGCAGCACAGUAAGAGCUUGCUCUUACGGGUGGCGAGUGGCGGACGGGUGAGGAAUACAUCGGAAUCUACUUUUUCGUGGGGAUAACGUAGGGAAACUUUCCCUAAACCCCAUACCACCCUCGGGGGUAAACACGGGGUUUUUCGACCCUUUGCCCUUUUAAGUGCCCGAUGUCGGAUUAGCUAGUUUGGGGGGUAAAGGCCCACCAAGGCGACGAUCCGUAGCUGGUCUGAGAGGAUGAUCAGCCACACUGGAACUGAGACACGGUCCAGACUCCUACGGGAGGCAGCAGUGGGGAAUAUUGGACAAUGGGCGCAAGCCUGAUCCAGCCAUACUGCGUGGGUGAAGAAGGCCUUCGGGUUGUAAAGCCCUUUUGUUGGGAAAGAAAAGCAGCAGGUUAAUACCCCGCUGUUCUGACGGUACCCAAAGAAUAAGCACCGGCUAACUUCGUG
rnacentral:rRNA from 1 species